UGUUAUGGAUCAACUGGGAAAAUGCAUGCUAUGUCGACAUGGACAAUGAUUUUAUUUUAUGCAAUACAGAAAAUUUAGGAACAAUUAAUACACAGGUUUAGUCAUAAUAUUAUUACUAGUAUUUAUGCCCGCGUUGCAGAGCUUUGGUAAGUAAAAAAACUGAAAUUGUCUAAAGCAUUGCCAAUUAAUAGAUUCGUUGGUUCAUAGUUAAAAAUAUUACAUCCGAUAUUGUUAAUUAGUACAAAAGUUUCAUGCUGAUGAGAUAAAACAAAGAGAAUUAACUACUUUUACUGAGACAAACCAAGCUCCUUAUCGUGAUUAUGUCUAUGUUGUUAUGGCAGAUGAAUCGCAGUUUAGAACCGAGAUGCCUGGCAACUGAGUUGUUGAAGAAGUUCCUUGUGUUUGAAUGCUUUGUUGCUCUUCCGUCAGUUUAGAACCGAGAUGCCUGGCAACUGAGUUGUUGAAGAAGUUCCUUGUGUUUGAAUGCUUUGUUGCUCUUCCGUCAGUUUAGAACCGAGAUGCCUGGCAACUGAGUUGUUGAAGAAGUUCCUUGUGUUUGAAUGCUUUGUUGCUCUUCCGUCUCUGAUUCCUCCAACUUGAAGCCGUGGCAUACGUUUGUUGCCCAGUAGAAUCCAGUUUUGUUGAAAACAUUUGAUUCAUUGAUUUCAAUUCUGAUUGUGUAUGGUUUAGUUGUCAUCUGUUUGAAACACUCUGGGAAGUAUCCUUCAGUUGCAACUGUAACAAUCAGUCAUGCACAGUUGGCUUAUAUUACUUUUUAUUUAUUGUUUACUUUAAUAGUUAAAUCAUCCAUUACCUUUGGAACAAUCUGCCUUGCCCUUUUCCCAAUCACACUUCUUACCUCUAUUGAUCCAGUAGUAUCGCCAGCAAUGACCACCAAAUGGUAUCUAAUACAUUUGUCAUGUGUUAAAAGUAUUCAAUUUAUUAAAAUUAAAUAUUGUAUACCUUAUUUCUGGAUGUGGAACAAUCCUCUCGUAAAUUUGGCAAGAAUGGUGGCCAUCUAUGAUUUCAGUUUCUAAAUCACACCUGCAUAAAACAAUAACAAUAUAUAUAAUUUUAUUAUAACAAAAACAUAAUUUACAUACAUUUCAUAGUUAAUAAAUUCUUAAAUAAUAUAAUGAUUAAUAUAAAGAGUCGAAAAUUUGUGAAAUAUACUUUUGGGUGUGUAAAAAAUGUGGAGCGUAUGCAGGAGCUAUCAGUCUUCUAGUGAUAGCUAAUUUCACUGUUGUGUGCUUCUCAAGUGUAUGAGUUCUUGCAUCAUAUGAACAUUUUUAUCAAAACUUGAGUCAGUCUAUGACAACAUUUAAGUAAUGAUAGAUGAUAGAUGCAUCAUGCAUGUAACUGUCACAUUUGAUAGUUCACAAACAACUAAGAUAUAUACAUUAAAAAGAACAUAAUCUGUUUAGGACAAAUUGAACCUUUCGCGGUCCGCGGAGAUAAAGAAGAUCAAAAAUAUAUUCAGUGUAUUCAUAGAGUGGAAGAGCCUGGUUUAUUGCAGGUUUAAUAAAGUUAAAAGAAUGAUGUCUCACCAAGCCUUGUGUCAUGGCUAUAAUUUUAAUUAGUGCAAAUAAAGUGAAAAAUGAUAGCAAUAAAAAGAAUAAUCUCAAUUUAUAACUACAAAAAUAAAAUAUAAUCUCAAAGUAGUAGGUAUAUAAAAUGAAUUUACUUGUAAUGUUAUAAUAAACAUACCUCCAUACUUUCAAUGAAAUGAAAACCACAAUAUUGGAGUGAAUCAAAUAUCAUAGUCACCGAUAAGUGUACAUACCUGUGUAUAAAGCAUUUCAAUACGAACAAUUAGAUACUCUUUUAGACAUUUAAUCAAGCAGCUGAGGGGAAAAAAAAGUUCUACACUGAAACAUGUCCCAUUAUAUAUAUGACGAUGCUACCGAUAUCAUAUCGAUUACCAACAAAAGUUCUGAAGCCUCUUCAUAAUCAAACACUUCAAGUAUGACAAACAACAAAGAUAUGCGCAUAAUUAAUUAAGCCUCCGAUCUACAAAUCUCUAUAAAUAUUAUCAAAUCAUGAAAAUUAAUAAACAUAAUAUGAAAAAAAUUAGUUUACCACAUAUUAUAGGAUACCUAAAACUGACAACCAUAUCAUAUUUGUUCUUUGGGGCAAAUCAUCAAACACUUUAUCAACGAAAGUUCACCUGCAAUUAUAAGAUCAAGAAAUUAUUAUAAAACUAAUAGUUGAAAUCAAAAUUAUACUGAAAAAUACUAAGAAUAUAAAAGAGAGAAACAUGAGUGGAGAUUACGGGCAGAAGGUAGAAGAGAAAAGGAGAGAGAGCAGAACAGAAACAUAUAAAUGUGUACUUUUAAAUUAAAUUCAUAUCAUUCAAAUUUGAAUUCUUGGAAGGCGCGUGUAAACUUUGAAGUUUCAUAUAUAAAAUGUAAAACUUUUAAGAGAAGCUAGCAGACCGGCAGAGGUUUAGCUUCCUCCGGAAGCCUCCGGUUAUUAACAAAGGCACUUCGUUGUCACUGGAUAAACUUUUGGUGUUUUACG
rnacentral:lncRNA from 1 species